rnacentral:rRNA from 1 species
UAAUACGUAGGGAGCAAGCGUUAUCCGGAUUUACUGGGUGUAAAGGGCGAGUAGGCGGACUGGCAAGUCAGAAGUGAAAUCUGGGGGCUUAACCCCCAAACUGCUUUUGAAACUGCUGGUCUUGAGUGAUGGAGAGGCAGGCGGAAUUCCCAGUGUAGCGGUGAAAUGCGUAGAUAUUGGGAGGAACACCAGUGGCGAAGGCGGCCUGCUGGACAUUAACUGACGCUGAGGCGCGAAAGCGUGGGGAGCAAACAGGAUUAGAUACCCUGGUAGUCCACGCCGUAAACGAUGGAUACUAGGUGUGGGAGGUAUUGACCCCUUCCGUGCCGACGUUAACACAUUAAGUAUCCCACCUGGGGAGUACGGCCGCAAGGUUGAAACUCAAAUGAAUUGACGG